rnacentral:rRNA from 1 species
UACGGGGGGGGCAAGCGUUGUUCGGAAUUACUGGGCGUAAAGGGCUCGUAGGCGGCCAACUAAGUCAUACGUGAAAUCCCUCGGCUUAACCGGGGAACUGCGUCUGAUACUGGAUGGCUUGAGUUCGGGAGAGGGAUGCGGAAUUCCAGGUGUAGCGGUGAAAUGCGCAGAUAUCAGGAGGAACACCGAUGGCGAAGGCAGGUCUCUGGGCCAUUACUGACACUGAGAAGCGAAAGCAUGGGGAGCGAACAGG